AUACGGAUGGUGCGAGCGUUGUUCGGAAUUACUGGGCGUAAAGGGCGCGUAGGCGGCGAUGUAAGUCAAAUGUGAAAGUCCUCGGCUUAACCGGGGAAGUGCAUCUGAAACUGCAUUGCUUGAGUAUGGGAGAGGAAAGUGGAAUUCCCGGUGUAGAGGUGAAAUUCGUAGAGAUCGGGAGGAAUACCGGUGGCGAAGGCGACUUUCUGGACCAAUACUGACGCUGAGGCGCGAAAGCGUGGGGAGCAAACAGGAUUAGAAACCCCUGUAGUCC
rnacentral:rRNA from 1 species